UACGUAGGGUGCGAGCGUUGUCCGGAAUUAUUGGGCGUAAAGAGCUCGUAGGCGGUUUGUUGCGUCGGCCGUGAAAACCCGCGGCUCAACUGUGGGCUUGCAGUCGAUACGGGCAGGCUGGAGUUCGGUAGGGGAGACUGGAAUUCCUGGUGUAGCGGUGAAAUGCGUUGAUAUCAUCAGGAACACCGGAGGCGAAGGCGGCUCACUGGGGGUUUUCUGACGCUGAGGAACGAAGGCCAGGGGAGCGAACGGG
rnacentral:rRNA from 1 species